rnacentral:rRNA from 1 species
CACACAGGUGCUGCAUGGCUGUUGUCAGCUCGUGUCGUGAGAUGUUGGGUUAAGUCCCGCAACGAGCGCAACCCUCGUCCUUAGUUGCAACCAUUCAGUUGUGCACUCUAAGGAAACUGCCGGUGAUAAGCCGGAGGAAGGUGGGGAUGACGUCAAGUCCUCAUGGCCCUUACACGCUGGGCUACACACGUGCUACAAUGGCGGUGACAGUGGGUUGCCACCUCGCGAGAGGGCGCUAAUCCCAAAAAGCCGUCUCAGUUCGGAUUGCACUCUGCAACUCGAGUGCAUGAAGGCGGAAUCGCUAGUAAUCGCGGAUCAGCAUGCCGCGGUGAAUACGUUCCCAGGCCUUGUACACACCGCCCGUCACACCAUGGGAGUUGGAUUGACCCGAAGGCUGUGGGCUAACCCGCAAGGGAGGCAGCAGACCACGGUCGGUUCAGCGACUGGGGUGAAGUCGUAACAAGGUAACC